GCCAGCAACCAUAUCACCCUGCAACUUACAACUGGUAACCCACUGAAGCUAAGCAGGUGUGAGCCUGGUCAGUACCUGGGUGGGAGACCUCCUGGGAAAAACUAAGGUUGCUGCUGGAA
ensembl:rRNA 5S_rRNA 5S ribosomal RNA